CAAGCAGGGAACGAACUAGCAGCGGCAGCCGAGGUGGGCAUGAGGGCCUGCACCUUUUAUGUACAGCCGUUGAAUUCAGAGAGGAGAGACAACCUUCCGUGGAAGAUCAGACUGAUGACCCGGAGAUUAGUGCAACAGAUGGGAUCCUCCAGGACCAAGCAUCAGGGCUUGACAGCCCAGGCCCAGCUUGGCAUCAAAACUCUAUCGGCACACAGGAUCGGCAGGACGGCCUGCUAGAAAGUGCUGCAGAAUCCAGU